CCUGAAUGUGCCUGAAUGUCCCGUCUCACACUCAGCUUCCAACUGCAACAAAGCUCCAACUCCUGCUGCUCGCAACCCUGCUUUGAGGUGGCCUGGGAUGACUGGCUCCGUCACUUAACCCUUUGGCUGUUUUCAAAAUGCUGAGAUGCAGUGAGCCACCCUUAGUGCUCUGCCCUGAAUGCUUCCGUCGGUCUGCUGAGUCACACUGCAGGCCAAGGGAUGUGUUCCUGCCUUUGGUGGACUGCUCCGCCUAUGCUGACCGUUAAAGUCUCCCUCCUUCAGCCAGUCCAGACCAGAGAGCACACCUGAAUCUUCCGGCCUCUUCAUGUGUGUCCCUAAGGAGAAGCUUGUGCCCUGUCUCUGAGGCAAGACAUAGCCGACGAUGAACUGACGGUGGUAGCCCCGACCUCCACUUGUAAUCCCUGCCGGCCUCUCCCCAGCUCCCCACCAGCCUCAUUCUGUACAACAUCCUCUGGCCAAGGUUACAGCUUCUUCUCCCUGGAGCCCCUCGGACAAGCACAGCUGCCUGGGCCCCUCCCCUGCAUCACUGGAAUGCCUGAGGCUGCCAGACGAGGUGGCCUCCUUCCCAACACAAGGAUGCUCCCCUGGGGUGUUCUGUCGUAUAAAUUCCUCCAAUAAUUUAUUUCCAGAAAAAAUAAAUUCCCCUAAGAAUUGGUAUAUUUUCUUUUAUUAGAUAAUAAGAGCUGCACAGCACACUGCUUUCUUUUUUUUUGCUUUUCUUACCAGGAAGCUCAGGGCUGCACCAGUGCUGAUUGUGGAUAUAUUCAUCAGCUCUCUUUUCUAUUCUUUCUCUUUCUCCUCCUAUUUGUCCAUUUCAUUCUUGGGUGUGUACCCAUGUGUACUUAUGGAGAGCUCAGUUCAAGUAACUGUGUGGGAAGGCUAGCCGGGCCUGUGUCUGUGGUCUUGACAUAGAGCCCUUGUCCUUCCUCCUGCCUCUCCUGG